CGAAUGGCUCAUUAAAUCAGUUAUAGUUUAUUUGAUGGUACUUACUUACUCGGAUACCCGUAGUAAUUCUAGAGCUAAUACGUGCGUACAUCCCGACUUCUGGAAGGGACGUAUUUAUUAGAUAAAAGGCCGACCGGGCUUGCCCGACUCGCGGUGACUCAUGAUAACUUCACGAAUCGCAUGGCCUUGCGCCGGCGAUGUUUCAUUCAAAUUUCUGCCCUAUCAACUUUUGAUGGUAGGAUAGAGGCCUACCAUGGUGGUAACGGGUGACGGAGAAUUAGGGUUCGAUUCCGGAGAGGGAGCCUGAGAAACGGCUACCACAUCCAAGGAAGGCAGCAGGCGCGCAAAUUACCCAAUCCUGAUACAGGGAGGUAGUGACAAUAAAUAACAAUACCGGGCCUUUGGUCUGGUAAUUGGAAUGAGUACAACCUAAACACCUUAACGAGGAUCAAUUGGAGGGCAAGUCUGGUGCCAGCAGCCGCGGUAAUUCCAGCUCCAAUAGCGUAUAUUUAAGUUGCUGCAGUUAAAAAACUCGUAGUUGGAUUUCGGGUGGGAAUGGCCGGUCCGCCGUUUCGGUGUGCACUUGCUACGCCCACCUUGCUGCCGGGGACGUGCUCUUGAGUUCC
rnacentral:rRNA from 2 species